UCCUGGCCGUAAACGAUGGGCACUUGGUAUUGGGGAAUUCCUCAGUGCCGGAGCUAACGCGUUAAGUGCCCCGCCUGGGUAGUACGGCCGCAAGGCUAAAACUCAAAGUAAUUGACGGGGGCUCGCACAAGCGGUGGAGCACGUGCCUUAAUUCGAGGCAACGCGAGGAACCUUACCAGGGCUUGACAUGCAGGUGGUACAAUCCUGAAAGGGAGAGGACCCUGGGUCAGCCAG
rnacentral:rRNA from 1 species